GACAGGGAGUGCGAGUGUUAUUCGGAUUUAUUGGGUGUAAAGGGUAUGUAGGCGGUAUCUGAAUCGGUCUUUGAAAAUCUAGAAUAGUGAUAUAGAACUGAAGACCCCAAUCUGAUACUUAGAGUUAUAGAGAGGUAAGGAGAAUUCUUAGUGUAUCGGUAGAAUGAGCAAAUACUAGGACGAAUACCAAAAGCGAAGGCGCCUUUCCAGCUAUAACUGACGCUGAGAUACGAAAGCAUGGGUAGCGAACAGG
rnacentral:rRNA from 1 species